UACUUACAAAUGGGUAUAAGGAUUUGGAG
rnacentral:piRNA from 1 species